UCAGAUGGGGUAAUCACGUGAUGAUCUAAAGGAAAUCAAGAUGGCGGCGUUCGUUCCAAAACAGGAAAACGUGUGGCCUACCAAAGGGCUUCCGCAAGAAUAAUAACUGCAAGUGACCACGCGUUCGAUUAGCCUGGAAGGAAGCGAUUAGCCCGGAAGGAAGCGAUUGCCUGGGCGGAAAAGAAUUGACCAUGUCGCCACGGAAAGAAAUGCUGUUCAGAAAGGGGCAAUUGGGUGCGCUGGGAGAAGGCCCGAACUAACUACAGCAAAAUGCUGCCAACCAAAAUAAUGGGCAUAGAGUAAAAUGACUGUGACAGUAUUUAAAUAAUACUUAAGUGACGCUGGUGAAAAGCCUUAAAAAAUAAAAGUGUGCAUUAUUUUUGCAUCGACAUACAUGUACCAUGUUCAAUUGUUACUGCCGUGUUUGUAUAUUCUAGGUUUAUCACAUGAACAUAUAGUAGUAGCCCCACAUUGUAAA